CGCCGAGGCGACCUUUGAGUAAGUUACUUCUAGUCAGCAGCAGCAGCAUCGUCGUGCAGGAUGUUAGACAACGAGGAGUAUCUGGUGGACGCCUGCCCGCGGGAGCUCACUCGGAACCCGCUGAGGAAGAUCUGGUUACCGGGCAAGAGCGGCCACAUAGCGCAGAGACGCGUAUGUAUGACCAACUGCCCAACCCUCAUUGUGACGGUCGGCCUUCCGGCACGAGGGAAGACCUACAUCUCCAAGAAGCUAACGCGCUACUUAAACUGGAUCGGCGUGCCCACCAAAGAGUUCAACGUGGGCCAGUACCGCAGGGAGUGUGUGAAGAUCUACAAAUCAUUUGAGUUUUUCAGUCCGGAUAAUGAAGAGGGUUUAAAAAUCAGACGUCACUGUGCAAUGGCAGCUCUUAAUGACGUCCGCCAGUACCUGAGCGUGGAAGGAGGACAAGUGGCCGUUUUUGAUGCCACCAAUACGACGAGAGAAAGACGGGGGGCCAUUGUCAAGUUUGCUGAGCAAAAUGGGUUCAAGGUGUUCUUUGUGGAGUCUGUGUGUGAAGACCCAGACGUCAUCGCGCAAAACAUCGUGCAAGUGAAGCUCGGCAACCCAGACUACAUCCACUGUGACACUCAGGAGGCCAUCGAAGACUUCAUGAAGAGGAUCAAAUGUUACGAGUCAUCCUACCAGCCUCUGGAUGAGGUUCUGGACAGGGAAAUGCCCUACAUCAAGAUCAUGGACGUGGGCCGCCGUUACCUGGUGAACCGGGUACAGGACCACAUUCAGAGCCGGAUCGUGUACUACCUGAUGAACAUCCACAUCACACCGCGCUCCAUCUACCUGAGUCGGCACGGCGAGAGCGACCUCAACAUCAAGGGACGCAUUGGAGGCGACUCGGCCUUGUCGGCGCGGGGCAAAGAGUAUGCCAAAUCUCUGAAGAAGUACAUCCAGGAGCAGAACAUCAAGGAUCUGAAGGUGUGGACCAGCCAGAUGAAGAGAACCAUCCAGACAGCCGAGUGUCUGGGAGUGCCGUACGAACAGUGGAAAUCUCUCAACGAGAUCGACGCUGGCGUGUGCGAGGAAAUGAUGUAUGAAGAGAUCCAAGAGCAUUACCCUCUGGAAUUUGCACUGAGAGACCAGGACAAAUAUCGCUACCGCUAUCCUAAAGGAGAGUCAUAUGAAGACCUGGUGCAGCGUCUGGAGCCUGUCAUCAUGGAGCUGGAGAGGCAGGAGAAUGUUCUGGUCAUUUGUCACCAGGCCGUCAUGCGCUGUCUUCUCGCUUACUUCCUAGACAAGACCGCAGUCGUAGCGACACCCCUGACUUGGAGGAGAACUGCAGCGGACUUUCGAAACAGCGCGCGUGGGUUGCGCUCAAGUAUAAAGACAAACUACGCGUGGGACAGCCGCAGUGACGUCAGCGCGGUCGCCGUCCGCUCGAGUUGCCUUAUCUUAAAUGCCCCUUGCACACAGUGUUGAAACUGACCCCAUUGGCUUACGGAUGCAAAGUGGAGUCCAUCUAUUUAGGCGUGGAUGCCGUCAAUACACACCGAGAGCGACCGGAGAAUGUGAGCGUGCAGCGUAGCACAGAAGCUGCUCUGAAAACCGUGCCGGCGCACUUCUGACACCCUCGCUCACGCUUCCUGGGUGACCCCCUCACCUGCCUCUCGACGACGCUCAUCGUCAGCGAUAUGAAGAUGUUUGAGAGGAGCAUCCCGUUUUAUACUCCGACUCGAUGGGGGAAACUUUCCGAAUGGACAGCGUGUGUGUUUUUGUUACACUGUUGUAGACAACACAUCCUCCCGCACUGUCAGAAGCGCUCACUUAAUGUGUUGCUAUUUUAUAAAGCUGGUGUGAGCGCGCAAGAACUCUGCAAUUACUGUUACUUAUAUUUUUUUAAAUAUGGGCUUCAGUGAUUAGAAAUCCAGUUGAUUACCAUAUUUUUGCAAAUAGUGGCCAGGAGGGUGUUUAUUUAGAUUACGAAUUAUGUCACGUGCCAAAACACAUGUAAACAGACAAGGAUGCACACAUUGUCAGAAGAGUGAUUUAAAUCUCAACUCCACAUAACACAGGAUUGUCUUAAAUAUGGACACCACAUUUUAAUUCAUCUGCAAGAUGAUGACGUAGGUCCUGCUCUUUGUUAGCAAAAGCGUUCAAAUAGGUUCAGCAGUUAACUAUUGUAUGUGAACAAUCAGUCUAUUACAAAUGGACUACAAAGUUAAAUACAGUACAACUGAACUGUACUUGGGUAGUAAUACUUUUACGUACCACUAGAGCACCCGCACACUGCCAGUGGUAUUGGUAUCAAACUGAGAAUCGCUGCAUCAGAGUGACAGCCACUAUUUGGGGAAAUAUGCUAAUAUGUCAUAAGCUGUGUAAAUCAUCAUAUGCAUGUUCUGUAUGAUACCAGAAGCAGUGGUGACGGAGUCACUCUGGUGCUUUUUUGGGUCUACUUUUCCAAGAGCCUUUUGAACAUGUAGGAUCUUUGCAAAAUUGUUCCAGAUGUGGACAUGAAUUGAAGUGAUACAUCUGAAAACACACAAAAUCGUCUUUGGGGUAACAUUAACAUUUAAAUGUGGUAGACUGUAACAGGUAUAGCAAACAGAAAUGCCACAGAUUUUAGCAAUGGGCAUCAUGGGGGGAAAUAUUUUGGUGUCGCAAAGUAGUGGACUCUGUUUUGUUGACAAUCAACUAUCAAUUCCACACGAUCGACCAGCUCUUAGCUAUCAAUAAUGCCCAUCCCCAACAUUCACACUCCAAUACUUAUUUACACGAAGAUUUGUGCCUGAAAACACAAAUCUUUACAUUUGUCAAAUGAUUUUAAUAAAGUACGUUUGUGUUCUAUUAUAUAUUGGUUUGUGUACACGACAGUUGUGAAAAGUGUACUUGCCUUGCUGCUCCUUUCCAGUUUUACAAAUGUCAAUAAAGUUUCUUUACUUGGUA